CUCCUCCGCGGCACCUGCGGCCGCCUCGGCGCGCCCGCACACCGGCUCGGAUCGGCGCGAGCGGAGCCCGUUUUGAAUCGUACCCAGUUGUGUCAUGAUUCCACUACAGCCAGAUCUCGACACUGCAUUAAUGACUUCAGAGUGGAUUAUCUCGCAUUGGCAUGUAACAAAUGAUUGUCCAGGCCAUCCAAAUGGGCAAAUGGUUGAUGUUGCAGAGACUUGUUAAAAAAGGGCAAGAUUUAAUUUCAUGUAAAUGGAUUACACCUGCAAAUGGUAUUUCUGAUGCAUAGGUAAAUGCGGAGAGAGCACUUCCUUAUGUUUGCCCCCCUACAGCUCUCCUUCCUUGUGGCCUCAGGGGCAGGGUGGAAAAGGCUCUGCUUUCUCAUUCUGCUUUGGAUGUGACAUUGGCUGCUACAGCCAUGUCCUUGCAAACAUACGCUGCUUCAAACAAGAAAAAUCUAUUACGUAAAAGAGGGUUGACUGGGGUCCUCAGGAGGAUGGCUUAGUUUAAGUGGUACUCUGAAAACAGAGUUCUCUUUGCAGAACUUCUGCAUGACAAAUUGCCUUCAGUUGGAUGCUCACUGUUGCAUGGUCUGCUGUACUCUAGACUGAACUUCAUUUUCGCAAAUGGCCUGUUACUGUUACAGAAAUAUUUUGUGAACUGAGUGCAGCAACACAUAGCAAGGCCCCAGUUCCACAGCAGUACACAGUUAGACAUAACUUUGUAUAUGCUAGUAGUUUAUGGUCUUUCUUAUUUGUCUAUGGGAGGUAUAGAUUCACUUGAGGGGAGAAGAGUGUCCCCUGCAUUAUCCAUCCCUUUUCACAUCUAACCUUUUGGACUUCUAAAGCAGAAAUUAUUGUAAAAUAAUUUUUAUUUUAUUUUGUUUUGUUUUUAUUUAUCUAUUUUACUGUUUCAAGUAAGUUAAAAAGCAGCUGGAUGUGCUUGAGUCUGAACGUCUGGUGUUAUCUCCAGAAGAGGAUCUUGUACUGAAGAGGUCUCUCCCCUGCUUAGCAUCCUCACAGGAUCUCUGCCUGUUUAAGGAGGGGCAUGGAGCCAGCCACCCCUUAUAAAGUGAUCUCUGUGCCCUGGGAGCCAGGAAAAGUCUGCACGGAGUUUCUAUGCCUUGGCACAACCAUAGCCUUGCAUAGGCAUUGUGGCAGUGGAAGGGUCUGUGUGCAUUGUGUGAGUGAUGUUUGGCUUUGACCAUGCAUGAGUAUUCAAGCCCAGAUAGAUCUGUACAAGAAAAGCAGAAUAAAACAGUGAGUUUCUAUUGCGAAUACACACACCUGUGAGAAAAGCAGCCCUACUGUGCUAAUGAUAACGGGGGGGGGGGGGGGGACGAAGGGGGAGGGAUAUAGCAUCCAGUGAGGGUGCUGAAGCUUGUGGGGAGUGUGAGGUGGCUUUUGUAGUAAUGAGACCUUUCAUCAUCUGCCUGGGAAAUGCAUGAACAUUGCUUUGUUUCUUUGUGUGGCUCUGAGUCUCUUUCAGUUCUUGCUGCAUCUGUUUGAGUUGAACUUCUUCAGCUAUCAAGAGGUCAGGCAGCUGCAGGUGCAAGGUGGCUGAUAAGGUAGGAGCACAAGAUGGCUUCAGGAUGGAGAGCUGGCAUUGCCACCGCUGUUUUGCAAGGUCCUGUGGCCAAGAGCAGUCUGAGAGAGCCCUCCCCUUGCUCACUUAACCAGCAUAUGUCCAUCAGCUGUUACUCACAUUACUACAUAUCUGCUAUGAUGUUAUUAAUUGUGCACUACGAUGUGCAGAGCACGGGGCUAAUGUUUCCAAAAGCAUUUAGGCAUUAUCCAGGGCUAAGAUCAGACUGUCUGAGAGACCAGAGAAAAGCAUUCAGAAAAUUUAUUUCCAGCACUGGCUUCUCCUGCAGUACUGAGCAGGCAGUUUCAGUGGGGCUUCACCAGACAGGGAAUUUUUUUUGUCACAGGUUUCAUCAUUUGGGAUGAGAGGACCUGCUGUCUUUGUGGGGUAUUCUGCAAAUAGUCUGUUCAUAUGUACAAAGAACUGUAAAGAGUCAAGUGGUACAUUAAAUAUUAUGCAUAAUAGUUUAAUAGUUGCUUAUUCUUUUAGACAGGUCUCCACAUCUCUGUUUUGUUUCAUGCUAAUGGGUAAACAUCUAUGAAUAUUUGGUGAUGUCCCUUUGAAAAAAAAAAAAAAAAAAAGCUGGAAAAGAUUGCCAAGAAGCUUAGUGAACCAGUCAGGCAUUGCCUUUGCCUUGAAAAGUGACCCUGGUAAAUGGAAAUACCAUCACAUUAACUUUCCUUUUGGGAAUUCUGAUGGAUGUAAGGAUCUAGAAACUUUGCAACAUCAAUUCACCUGAAAAUGCCUUUGGACUUACAGUAGGCCUGGAUUCUUUGGGAUAGUUGGCUGUUUUUAUUAUAGAGUGUAAAGUCAAAAGAGAAAAUAAAGGACAUGAAAGGGCCUUCUGGAGUUCAUAUAAUCUGUGUGAACUCAGUGUGUUUGGUGUUCCUUUAUCUUUUUUCCUUAAAGACCUUAUAGCCUCCCUUCCAAACGAGUUCCCGAAGCACUGAGAUUACUAGUUCACCCUCAGGUCUUAAAUCAAUGAGACUCUUGCCUCCAGUUCUUUUGGUGAAGGACACAAAGCAAGAAUAUGUCUACAGCAGUAACUUAAUCUAAUAAAGAAAAGGAAAGCCUCACGGGUAGAGAAAGCAACAGCUACGUAUCACGGGAUAGUAUCCUGCCUUAGGAUCACUUGCAAAAAUACUGUCUUCAGAAUGUGCUGCUAUCAAAGAUUUCACUUGCUCAUAAGAUCGUUGUAUGCCUGAACUGACAGUAAUCGAAGGAGCUGUUCUCAUGGCUGCGUUUUUGAAGUGCAGAGCCAGGAUCUAUAUAACUGACCUCAGUGGAGCUGUAUACAGCCUAAGAGAGACAGAAUGCAUCCUUUGGGAAUAAUACAAAAUAGGCAGUUUCGUCUGCAUCUGAGCUGUGCUUGCACUUUACCAAGACUGCAUCUCCAAACCACACUCGGCACGCAGAGCCAAUACGCUGGGAAUGAGCAAGAUGUGGGAGGGUACACUGCCAGGACAACUGACUCCAAUAUACCAAAGGGAUUUUCCAUAUAAUGGAAUGUUAUGCUCAGCAGUAAAAGUUGGAGGAAAGGAGAAGAAUGCAAGGACAUUAAUGGAUAUGGUGUUUGUCUUCCCAAGCAACCUCUAUGCAUACUGAUGCCCUUCUUCCCACGAAGUGGCUGGACAUCUCCCUGCUGACAGAAAGUUGGCAAAUAAAUUCCUAUUUUUGCUUUGCAUCC